rnacentral:rRNA from 1 species
AAUGAACGCUGGCGGCGCGCUUAAUACAUGCAAGUCGAGCGAGAAGACGUAGCAAUACGUUUGUAAAGCGGCGAACGGGUGAGGAAUACAUGGGGUAACCUACCCUCGAGUGGGGAAGUAACUAGCCGAAGGUUAGCUAAUACCGCGUACGCUCCUUGGACUUCGGUUCAGGGAGGAAAGCGAUACCGUGGGUAUCGCGCUCUUGGUUGGGCUCAUGUCCUAUCAGCUUGUUGGUGAGGAACGGCUCACCAAGGCUUCGACGGGUAGCUGGUCUGAGAGGACGAUCAGCCACACUGGCACUGCGACACGGGCCAGACUCCUACGGGAGGCAGCAGUAAGGAUAUUGCGCAAUGGGCGAAAGCCUGACGCAGCGACGCCGCGUGGGGGA